UACGAAGGGUGCAAACGUUGCUCGGAAUUAUUGGGCGUAAAGAGCUCGUAGGCGGUGUGUCGCGUCGGCCGUGAAAACCUGCAGCUUAACUGUGGGCGUGCGGUCGAUACGGGCAUCACUGGAGUUCGGCAGGGGAGACUGGAAUUCCUGGUGUAGCGGUGAAAUGCGCAGAUAUCAGGAGGAACACCGAUGGCGAAGGCAGGUCUCUGGGCCGUAACUGACGCUGAGGAGCGAAAGCAUGGGGAGCGAACAGG
rnacentral:rRNA from 1 species